rnacentral:lncRNA from 1 species
GCAUCCUAUCAGUUUGGACUGAAAUAGUUCCAGAUGAGGGUGACAUUUGAGGAGCGCCUUGCAGAAACUUAGUGGUGGUAAUAUAAAGAGCCUUCGUCCUACUGCUGUGUUCUGGGGCUCACUGUAAUUUCAUGCUGCAUUUGGAAGCCUGCAGGGGAGACACCUUAAUUACUACGGAUGCCAUAUAGGAAGAGGAGUGCAAAUCAAACUUUAUUAAUCGACAACAUACUUCCAGCUUUCAGGAACAGAUGCUAAGGGGGAGUGAAACCUUGUAAGCCACGGGUAUCUACCAACACCCCCUCAGAUCUGGAAGCACCAUCCAUUUGGAAAUAAAGGAGAUAUGUUUUGCCUAGUCUCUCCUAAUACUGGCCACAACAGACAAACCAAAUGUCCCUGCUGAAGUGCAAUCCCAGAUCUCUUCUGGAUCCUUCUUUGAAAUCUGGGAAAUACCGUGAUUACUGAUGACUUCACUGUGUUUUGAUAUCAAUCAGGGAUGGCCUUGGAUUCUUCACUAUGGAUGGGUUUAGUGAGUAUUUGAAGAAAUGUCAUGAGCUGAGUAUGCAUCUUAGUUUGCUUCCUAUUAUUGUGAUAAAUACCAUGACCAAAAGCAACCGGGGGAGGAAAUGGCUUACUCCAUCACUCAGUUUGUAUUCCAUCAUGAAGAGAAGUCAGGUCAGGAACUGAGGCAGAGACCACAGAGAAACACUGCUUAUU